UAUGCAUUGAAAAUAGGUUUGGUCUAUAAUUUUUUAUUAAUAGUUUUUAAUAAUUCUCCUCUCAAUAGGCUCCAGUCUUGAUACAUGUAACAGUACUUGGUUCUCAUAAAGGUUACCUCCUCCUCAUCCCAGCAACAAUCUAAUGGCCCUCUCUUCAGUCUUCAUGAAGUCCUUUCAGUAUGAUCAUACCCUUACACAAUAUGUCGGGAAGUUGAACGAUGCUCUUUUAAAUGGCCGCUGUCAUUCACUGUGUUGGUCUACAGUGUCUCUAAUGCCAUGAUCAUUGCUGCCAUUCAUCCACUGGAAUACUGUAGAAUGUUAUAACACUCCAGAUGGUCCCUCUGUCUUACAAACUCUGUCUUUGUCUUCAUUUCAUAAAAUCUGGGUCUCUCCUGAUUUAGGAGUCUCUCUUAAUUCAUUGGAUCAAUGUUCCCUCCCACUCAAUGCACUGGAGACUGGAACUGAGACAUAGUGUCAUUCUUCCGCCGUGGCUACUAUAAAUUUCAGCUCAAGUUGACAGGGGUUACUAUUCGAGGGUGGUCACUAUUCGAGAGCGGCUACUAUUUCUCUCCUAGCGAUAGCACAUGUGGCUGGUCACACCUGCACGUGAUCGCACUCAUCACUCACCACGAGUAGUGCGCACCAUUGUGUAGAAAUCGAGCAAACUCGAGCUAAACAUUGGGAGACAUGGAAAUUGAUAGUGUUGCAGAGGCCACCAUGUCUACAAGACAAUAUGGAACCCAGUAAUGAAAGAAACUAUAGGUCUUGCCGGAGAACAACAAUGAGCACACGUGGCGCAUUAAUUAAUGGUUUAAUGGACAGGAUUGUAUUAUCAUCAAAAUCAGGGGACAUGUCAUGCUAUGUUGCUAGAGUUUUUAAAGAGGAUUAACUCCACUGAAGAGUAUCAUUCAACUUGAUCCUUGCCUGCGUCACAUGUGUGGGUGUGUAUCAGGGGCUGGUGGUAUUGUAAGUGAUGGAGAAAAACUGAUACUGACUACUGAGAGUGAAUAAGAAGAAGCUAAACCAGUCACUGUAAGGUUUGCUAAAGCUGGAGCUAAUGAUUAACAUAAGGUGGAGCCUGAGGAACUUUUGAAAGCUGUAAGCUCUUAAUUUAUUGGGUCAAUGUUCCUUCCCACUCAAUCCACUGGAGACUGGAACUGAGACAUAGUGUCAUUCUUCCUUAGGAAUAGAGGCAGACAUACAAGCAUGAAAACAUUUUACUGGAUCUCCUCUGUGUCUCUCAUCUAUAUCCACUAGUCUAGGAUCAUAUAAUCCUAACUGUAGACCUAGUCUGUGCCAUACAGAACAGGACAAGUGUUGAUCUGAUGUUAAUUCUUUAAUGACAAUAUCAA